UACGUAGGGUGCAAGCGUUGUCCGGAAUUAUUGGGCGUAAAGAGCUCGUAGGCGGUUUGUCGCGUCUGCUGUGAAAACUCGGGGCUUAACCCCGGGCCUGCAGUGGGUACGGGUAGACUAGAGGCAGGUAGGGGAGAAUGGAAUUCCCGGUGUAGCGGUGAAAUGCGCAGAUAUCGGGAGGAACACCGGUGGCGAAGGCGGUUCUCUGGGCCUGACCUGACGCUGAGGAGCGAAAGCGUGGGGAGCGAACAGG
rnacentral:rRNA from 1 species